AGAGUUUGAUCCUGGCUCAGAUUGAACGCUGGCGGAACGCUUUACACAUGCAAGUCGAACGGUAACGUGGGGAGGAGCUUGCUCCACCCCGACGACGAGUGGCGAACGGGUGAGUAAUACAUCGGAACGUGUCCGCUCGUGGGGGACAACCAGCCGAAAGGUUGGCUAAUACCGCAUGAGUUCUACGGAAGAAAGAGGGGGACCCGCAAGGGCCUCUCGCGAGCGGAGCGGCCGAUGACUGAUUAGCCGGUUGGUGAGGUAACGGCUCACCAAAGCAACGAUCAGUAGCUGGUCUGAGAGGACGACCAGCCACACUGGGACUGAGACACGGCCCAGACUCCUACGGGAGGCAGCAGUGGGGAAUUUUGGACAAUGGGCGCAAGCCUGAUCCAGCUAUUCCGCGUGUGGGAUGAAGGCCCUCGGGUUGUAAACCACUUUUGUAGAGAACGAAAAGACACCAUCGAAUAAAUGGUGUUGCUGACGGUACUCUAAGAAUAAGCACCGGCUAACUACGUGCCAGCAGCCGCGGUAAUACGUAGGGUGCGAGCGUUAAUCGGAAUUACUGGGCGUAAAGGGUGCGCAGGCGGUUGAGUAAGACAGAUGUGAAAUCCCCGAGCUUAACUCGGGAAUGGCAUAUGUGACUGCUCGACUAGAGUGUGUCAGAGGGAGGUGGAAUUCCACGUGUAGCAGUGAAAUGCGUAGAUAUGUGGAAGAACACCGAUGGCGAAGGCAGCCUCCUGGGACAUAACUGACGCUCAGGCACGAAAGCGUGGGGAGCAAACAGGAUUAGAUACCCUGGUAGUCCACGCCCUAAACGAUGUUAACUAGUUGUUGGGAUGUAACAAUCUCAGUAACGCAGCCAACGCGAGAAGUUAACCGCCUGGGAAGUACGGUCGCAAGACUAAAACUCAAAGGAAUUGACGGGGACCCGCACAAGCGGUGGAUGAUGUGGAUUAAUUCGAUGCAACGCGAAAAACCUUACCUACCCUUGACAUGUCAGGAAGCUCUUGUAAUGAGAGCGUGCCCGCAAGGGAGCCUGAACACAGGUGCUGCAUGGCUGUCGU
rnacentral:rRNA from 1 species